CUCGAUAUUAUUAGUGGACACUCCAAUAAUAGCAUCAUCGCCAAGAAUUUUUCUGGCUAAUGCACAAUCCAUGUCGUCUUGACCAAUAUGAACACCGUCAGCGCCAACAGCUAAUGCCACGUCAAUCCUAUCAUUAAUUAGAAAAGGCACGUCGUACUUUUUGCAAAUUUCAGAAAGUCGUUUAGCACGUUCUACAAAGCAUUUAGUAGAGAUGUCUUUUUCUCUGUGCUGAACAAGCGUGACACCUCCCAAAAUUCCCUCUUCCACCUGACGUUCUAUAGUAGAACCUGGGGCAAUUAAACUAGAGCUAGUUACAAGGUAUAAAGAAUAGUCAAUUUGACGUUUCAUGUUUGGUAUAAAAGUUCUUAUAUAGAAGUCAAGUAAGUAAACAAAAUCCUAGAAAUGCCAGAUUAUGUUGCGGACACCAAAAAUUUGACAGUUCAAUCUUUCUAUGCUAAGAAAAAUGAAAAUUGAAUAUUAUCCUAAUUUAAUCAAGAAUUUGGCGAAAGUGUUACAAACUAUGUUUGCAAAUUUUGCUCCAUCUUUUAUACUGUGUUAGUCAUGGUUCGGAUGCGUGCUACGACAAGUUAGUGAUAACUGAUUUUAAUCACUCUAUUAAAAUGUAGUUUGUCAAAUGGAACAAAUACUGCAUGCUUUUGAAGAAAAUAUAUUCGCAUUACUUUGAACAGGUUUUAAUGAAAUGAGUUUAUAAAGGAACAGAUAUAUCUUAUUAAAAAGGUGCAGAAUAACGUUAUAUUUAAUUAUUAAAAAGAAAAAAAAAUUCAUUCAUUGUAAUAAAUACCCGUUAAAGCUAUAUUAUUGAAUAAAUAUGGAACAGCUUAACGUUUGAAGGUCCUAGUCUAAUUCUUCUAUUGCAGAAGGUGCUGCCUUUUCUAAACUUUCAAUUAAAGAUUCUACAAGAUGAAUUGACUCGUCAACGUUUGGCUCUUUUGACCAUUGAAAAUCGCUAAGGGAUGCAAUCUGACUAGAAAGAAAUUAUUAGCAAGCUAAAUAAAGCUCAAUUAAAACAACCCAAAUUCCUAAUCAACCUCAUACCUAUUCAUUUUAAGAGUCAAUUGUGUGCAGCGCUCUUUUUCCUCAUUUAAUUUUGUAUAAGCAGAUUGCACAGCUUCAGAAAGCCGCUCAUUGAUUUCACUUAUGUCCAGCGGUUUUGCACUAUGUGAUGUGUAAAAUUCUUCUACAUCGUGCAAUGUAGAGGCAUGACUGACCGUUUGCAGUUUCUCAACAUUUGUUGCCAACAUCCUAUCUAUUCUGCUUUUGCCGAUAACUUGACUCUCGAGAUGGAUGUUAGCUCUCAAUUUUGCUAAUCGCUUUUGUCUUUGUUGUGUACAGUAUUCGUAUAAACGCUCAAUCAGUGGGUCUUCUCUGUAUCUCUGAGGAAACAGUUGCCGCCAUUGUUCUAAGCUUAUAAUAGACUGCAACCGCCCUUGAGAAAGAAGAUAAUCAUUAAGUAUUUGUUCCUCCAUAUUCAUGAGCAACCUUUGAGAUAUUAGUAAAUUGAAUAAAUGAAACGCAGCAUUUGAUGAAAAC